rnacentral:lncRNA from 1 species
AAUUUCUAAAUUGAUUCCCAAAUAGAAAUUCAAUGCACCUUUAUCAACUCUCAACGCAAGUCUAGUGUGCAAAGUCGCCCAAACCAGUAGAAGUAAGAGGUUCUUACUCCCAUGUAGUCUAAAUGCUUUUUUCUCUUAUUGUUUUCUUCAAUACUCUAUCUUCUUUUUUAUACUAAUAAUAAGCACAACUAUAGAAUUGUUGUCUAACAUAGACAUUCCUGAGCAUUCAUCCCACAAAUCAAAGUAGGCAAAUAACUUUAAUCUUUUCCUAAUCAUGUAUUAUUCCAAUCAAUCAACCUCCAUUCCAUACCUCAUCUUAUUUUUGUGGGUGUUGUCAUAGCCAAAAGCAGUGACAAAAUAAGAUGGUAAACUUUUCUCUUCCAUUGAUAAAACCUAAAAGAAACAAAGUCAAAAAUAAAAAUAAAAAAACUAAUGUAUUAGGUUUACAUAAAUAAAGAUCUGUCAUUGCUAUAAAAUAUGGUGGUUAUGGGGUUGGUAGCUAGCUCAAUAUUAUUUUUUGCAAUACUUGCAUUAUUGAAUUUGUGGGAAAUAUUUAGUCACUGAAAACUCGUGCCAAAAAAGAAACUCAUAUUCGCACUAGCACGUCUUUCUGUUCUUUCAAUUUUUGACAAUUAUCAGUUUUCACUUGUAAAAUAGAAAGCUGAAGAAACACACCUAAAAGUCACAAAUUGCUUAAAACUCUGGAUAAAGGAUAAAAGAACGAAGAUGAAGCUCAGCGCGACAGGAACAACAACAGCAAUGUUUCUUCACCAAAAAAACAGAGAAUCGACACUGAAUUCCAAAGAAAUUGAAGCCAAACCUUCAAAUUCCAGCUUCCUUUUGAUUUUGUUGUAAACCAUUUUGUUUUCCGGAUUUUCAACUUUGCUCCCUUUUUUGGAGGGGUUUUGUUCUUAGAGCCAGAAGGGUUCUUUUAGGUCUCUAGUUUGGAGAGAAAAAAAAUGAAGAAGAAAAAGAAGGGAGGGGGAUGUCCUAAAUGCGCCGCUGCUCUCUGGUUUUUGGGAGAGGGGAGACCUUCUUUUUUGUCUUAGCAGCUAGGUUCUUUUUAGCUGAAGGGGAAGGGUUCCAUUAUUAGGUAGAAAAAUGAAAGAAAGGUUCUAUCAUUUGAGAAGAAGAAGGUAUCGAGGAAAUGGGGGAAGAUGUGCCGUUCUCCAAGGGUCUCAAAAAAUGGGAAAAUCUGAUUAUCUUUUUCUAGCUCCUUUCAUGUAUGUUAGGUCUAGGGAUUUAAGGGAAAAAAUGGGGAAAGGGAAGAUUGGGUUG